GGGAAGGUGGCUCAAAGGUAGAGUGCUUGCCUUGCAUGCAUGAGGCCCUGGGUUCAAUUCCUCAUCAUUACCU
rfam:Dipodomys ordii contig_2290, whole genome shotgun sequence.